rnacentral:rRNA from 1 species
AACGAACGCUGGCGGCAGGCUUAACACAUGCAAGUCGAGCGCCCCGCAAGGGGAGCGGCAGACGGGUGAGUAACGCGUGGGAAUCUACCCAUCUCUACGGAAUAACGCAUGGAAACGUGUGCUAAUACCGUAUACGUCCUUCGGGAGAAAGAUUUAUCGGAGAUGGAUGAGCCCGCGUUGGAUUAGCUAGUUGGUGGGGUAAAGGCCUGCCAAGGCGACGAUCCAUAGCUGGUCUGAGAGGAUGAUCAGCCACACUGGGACUGAGACACGGCCCAGACUCCUACGGGAGGCAGCAGUGGGGAAUAUUGGACAAUGGGCGCAAGUCUGAUCCAGCCAUGCCGCGUGAGUGAUGAAGGCCCUAGGGUUGUAAAGCUCUUUCACCGGUGAAGAUAAUGACGGUAACCGGAGAAGAAGCCCCGGCUAACUUCGUGCCAGCCGCCGCCGUAAGAC